AUGACCCCUUCAUGGAAAGACAAUCGUGUACAAAAACCCAAAGUCACGGUCUACCCAGUGUCCAAACCUGAGCCGAACAGGAAAACAACCCUGCUAUGUCUGGCUAGAGACAUGUUUCCAGACUUAGUCAAGAUUUCAUGGAAGAUGGAGGAUGAAAACGGCCGAACCGUGGAGGUGCCCAAAGCAGAGGGGGAAGAGCUGGAGCAGCGGGAGGAAGGGCGGACGACAAGUAUGAUCAUCAUUGAUAAAGAGAAAACGUACGGGAACAAAUACAUCUGUUCUGUCGAGCAUAAAUUGGGCACUCAAGACGUUGACAUACCAAAAGAGGAACCAACUGAAGCUCCUCAAACCACCAUGGCUGCACCAACCACUCUGCACGUUACCUAUGAGGAUCCAACUGAAGCUCCUCCAUCAACAAAGGCUGCACCAACUGCUCUGCAGGCUACAAACGAUUCCUUCCAGUCAACAUGCAGUCUCAACUUGGCCUCUCUGGUUUAUACAGUGAUGAUCCUGAAGAGCAUGGUGUACUGCUGUGCGCUCUCUCUCCUGCUGCACAACAGGAACCUGGGAAGUAGACCCAGCACCAGUAGACCCAUUUAUUGA